rnacentral:rRNA from 1 species
AUUGAACGCUGGCGGCAGGCCUAACACAUGCAAGUCGAACGAGUGGCGGACGGGUGAGUAAUGUAUGGGAAACUGCCCGAUGGAGGGGGAUAACUACUGGAAACAGUAGCUAAUACAGCAUACCAUCGGAUGUGCCCAGAUGGGAUUAGCUAGUAGGUGGGGUAACGGCUCACCUAGGCGACGAUACCUAGCUGGUCUAAGAGGAUGACCAGCCACGCUGGAACUGGGAAACGGGACAGACGCCUACGGGAGGCAGCAGUGGGGAAUAGUGCACAAUGGGCGCAAGCCUGAUGCAGCCAUGCCGCGUGUAUGAAGAAGGCCUUCGGGUUGUAAAGUACUUUCAGCGAGGAGGCGUGACUCGCAGAAGAAGCAUCGGCUAACUCCGUGCCAGCAGCCGCGGAAUUC